AGAUCUCGUGGGAGGGGGGGCUUUUGAAUUUGUUUUGGAGGCUCCUUCAAUUGACUUAUGGGGGGAAAGAAAGGAGCUGGUUGACUAAAAUGGUGGUUGACUGGCGGUCUCGUGGCGAGGGGGGGGAGACUGUGUGUGUGUGUGGCUAGUUAAUGCAAGCUGAGGGGUUUUUUGAAUGCUGGACACCAUUUUGUUACACGUGCUGCUGCAAACUUUGCAGUGCAAAGCCAGACCAGGGAGCCAUCUUAAGUUGAGGCUGCAUAGGCCUUGUGGUGCAUGUGAUUCAGAUUCUAUUCAGUUGAACCUCUGGUUACAAAGCUGGUUGGACAGUGUUCUCAAAGCUACCAGCAUGAGUUUGACCAGACUGCAGGAGGACAGGAAGACUGGAGUGCCUGGAACAGGUGAGGCUGCUGGUCCCUUAUUUUCAAGGCUGCAGGUCCCUUAUUUUGGCUGCUGAUCCCUUAUUUUCAAGGCUGCUGGUCCCUUAUUUUCAAAUCUGUAAGUUGACAGCUAGGGUAGGAGCUGUUUAACCAUGGAAGGAACACCCUUAAAAGCUGGCGGACUCUCCUUCCUUGGGGGUUUUAAACCAGUGUUUCCCAAAAUUGGGUCUCCAGCUGCUUUCAG